rnacentral:rRNA from 1 species
AUGAAUCUGGCGACCGGCGCCAUGGGCUCCCUGCUCCCCAAGCUGCUCGAGCUCCUCAAGGAGUACAAAUUGAAGAAGAAGGUUAGGGAAAGUGUCGGCUCUCUCGAGAAAGAGAUGAAGAGCAUGUACGCUGCCCUCCGCAAGGUGGGCGAAGUGCCAUGUGACCAACUCGACGAGCAGGUCAAGCUCUGGGCAGGGGAGGUGAGGGAGCUCUCCUUCAACAUGGAGGAUGUCGUUGACAAGUUUCUGGUGCGUGUUGAUGACGGCUCUGAGCCUGUGGCCAACUCGAACAAGAUCAAACGGCUCACCAAGAAGAUGACCGGCUUGUUCACCAAGGGGAAGACUCACCAUGAGAUCGCAAACGCCAUCAAGGACAUCAACAAGCAAGUCCAAGACGUUGCUAGCAGGCGUGUGCGGUACAAUGUCGACAAUAUUGUUGCUAUGCCUGCAGCGGUGACUCCCAUCGAUCCUCGCCUUCGGGCUCUGUACACCGAUGUGACAGAGCUUGUUGGCAUUGCUGGGGAAAGGGAUCAAGAGCUAAUGAAGUUGCUUUCAGAAGGAGACGACGAGUCCAAGAAAAAAUUGAAGAUUGUCACUGUUGUCGGAUUUGGAGGAUUAGGCAAGACCACUCUUGUCAAAACGGUUUAUGACAAGAUUAAAGGAGAAUUUGAUUGCCGAGCUUUUGUUUCUGUUGGUCGAAAUGCUAGUGCAAAAAUGGUUUUGAUGGAUAUCCUUCUUGCUCUUGACAUGUACGAAAGUCAUUUCACCAUAUUGGGUGAAACACAACUCAUCGACAAACUCCGGGAACGUCUCCAGAACAAGAGGUACCUCAUUGUAAUUGAUGAUAUAUGGGAUGAAAAACUGUGGACAAUUAUCAACUGGGCCUUCUCUAAAAACAACAUUUUUGGAAGUCGCUAA